GGGAUCGUAGCUCAGUUGGUAGAGCAUGGGAUCGCAACCCAGCGCGCAGGUUCAACUCCUGCCGAACCCA
rnacentral:tRNA from 1 species